rnacentral:rRNA from 1 species
GAUGAACGCUGGCGGCGUGCCUAAUACAUGCAAGUCGAGCGAACAGACGAGGAGCUUGCUCCUUUGACGUUAGCGGCGGACGGGUGAGUAACACGUGGGUAACCUACCUAUAAGACUGGGAUAACUUCGGGAAACCGGAGCUAAUACCGGAUAAUAUUUCGAACCGCAUGGUUCGAUAGUGAAAGAUGGCUUUGCUAUCACUUAUAGAUGGACCUGCGCCGUAUUAGCUAGUUGGUAAGGUAACGGCUUACCAAGGCAACGAUACGUAGCCGACCUGAGAGGGUGAUCGCCCACACUGGAACUUAGCCACGGUCCAGACUCCUACGGGAGGCAGCAGUAGGGAAUCUUCCGCAAUGGGCGAAAGCCUGACGGAGCAACGCCGCGUGAGUGAUGAAGGUCUUCGGAUCGUAAAACUCUGUUAUUAGGGAAGAACAAACGUGUAAGUAACUGUGCACGUCUUGACGGUACCUAAUCAGAAAGCCACGGCUAACUACGUG